rnacentral:hammerhead_ribozyme from 1 species
ACGAGUUGACGAGUCUCAAAUAGGACGAAAUGCGCAUCCUGGAU